rnacentral:lncRNA from 1 species
CCCUGCAGCCUCACUGCUCAAUCCUCUGCCAUUUAGGAGUUAAAUCCCUUUGUCUAUGAACCCUAGUCACACCUCCCUGCAUGUGACUUGCACAGCCUUCCAUAAACACUUCCUGUAAAGAGAGCCCUAUUUAGGCUUUCUUUAUUGCAAGUUCUGUUUAAUUAAGAUUUUCUUAUCCCCUGCUAUGUUAAUAGCUUGCUAGACCCUGCAAGAGCCUCCUGUAUGUGAUUAAAGUUCAAUUUAGAUAUUGAGAUACAAUUAUUUAAGGUAAAUUACAUCUGUUUGAAAGUGAAACCAGUUUUUUUUUUCAUGCAGGCUCUGUCAGUCAUAGCCAGGGGAGGUGUGGCUAGGGCUGCAUAAACAGAAACAAAGUGAUUUAACUCCUAAAUGACAGUGAAUUGAGCAGUGAAAUUGCAG